GUCAAUGUAGCUUAAAACUAAAGCAAGGCACUGAAAAUGCCUAGAUGAGUGCACCACACCCCAUAGACA
rnacentral:tRNA from 1 species